rnacentral:rRNA from 1 species
CAGUCGCCGCGGUAAUACGUAGGUGGCAAGCGUUGUCCGGAAUUAUUGGGCGUAAAGGGCUCGCAGGCGGUUUCUUAAGUCUGAUGUGAAAGCCCCCGGCUCAACCGGGGAGGGUCAUUGGAGACUGGGAAACUUGAGUGCAGAAGAGGAGAGUGGAAUUCCACGUGUAGCGGUGAAAUGCGUAGAGAUGUGGAGGAACACCAGUGGCGAAGGCGACUCUCUGGUCUGUAACUGACGCUGAGGAGCGAAAGCGUGGGGAGCGAACAGGAUUAGAUACCCCCGUAGUCCCUGUCUCUUAUAA